AGCUCAGGGCCAAUCUUCCUUACCCCUUCCAAAAAAAGGUAUCAUUGUUUUUAUUCUAUGAGCUUGAUAUUUUGUUUCCUAAUUAGGACUUUAAUCCAGAUUGACUCUCUCCAUCUGUUAGAUUUCUUCCUUAGACCUUCUUCCAAACGCUGUCUCCCAUAUGGUAAUCCAAAUAGUCUAGCCCCAUUUGAAAGCUAGUUCUUUCUUUCCUCACUGAUUUGAGAUACAGACUCUAUCCUCUAUCAUGUUCCCAAAUAUAUAUGGAUGCCCUAGCCUCUCUAACAUGUUCAGUUUCUUUCUCUGAAUGUUCCUAUAACCCAAUCAUACUGUUUUGAUUACCACGAUUCUUUAAGGGAUCUAACAGCUGUAUUAAGGUCCUUAAUCAGUUGGCUUUGAGUUCAUUGAAAGGGCGAUUAUCCUGGGUGAGUCUGACCUAAUCAGAGGAGCCUUUCAAUGAGCAUCUAGAGGUCAGGGACUAGAAGCAGCAGAGAUUCUCUCUCUCCAUGCCCGGCUUUGAUGAAGCAAGAGGCCAUGGAUUUUACAGCUGCAAGGAAAUGAAUUCUGCCAACAACCUGAAGGAGCUUGAAGAAAGAUCGGUUUUGAGUCAAGCCUCCAGUUGAGAACGUGGUUUGGCCGACAUCUUGAUUUCAGCCUUUUGAGACCCUGGGCAGAAAACCCAGCUGAGUCCUGCUUAGGCUUCUGACCUACAGAACUGUGAGCCAUAAAAAUGGAUGCAGAGCCCAUGGAAAGUUGACUCCUCCCCCAGCUUCCUAGAUGGGGUAAGAUUGGUCCAAGUUAGUCAGAGACUCACAUCCCCAUGUCAUAUGGGGCAGUUCUGGCCAAUGAACUAUAAGGUGGCUCUGUUGGUGGCUUCUCGAAAGGUCUGGCGUGGGCUGGAGAUUCUGCAUAUCUACAGGAUCCCAGUGAUGCUGCUGAGGCUGUGUCUGGGGACCCUACUUCUGGAGCACAGCACUCACCACCACCUGCCUUACCCAGUUAAUCGUGCCCCUCUUCCCCCAUCAGACUCUGAUCUCCCACAGGAUUACGAGCUGUGGCAUGGUCUUCCCUAACAUCCAUGCCUAGCAUCCUGGGCUCAGCGUAUGUGCCAAGAAACUGAUGAAAGUGAAUGGCGUUAAAUUAAAUUCGAGUAAAAACGGAUCAUUGCUACAAUUUAGCUCUGUUUUCUCCUUUCUGCCGCUGCAGAUGCACUGUUGACUCUGGAGGGAGGAGCCCAGUGUCCUCUGCUGGUUAACUAAGGAGAGGCCACGGCCAGCAGUCUUCAAGAAUCCAAAGCUUAUCUGCAGUAUUUUUAUGUACCCGAUCAAACUCUCCUUCAGGCAAAAGUACUUGUUUAAGCAGAUGUGUCAGCCAGCAGAUCCAGGCCAUAGCAGCUAUGAAGCCAGAACACAUUUUGCAUAAUAUUUGUGGAAUCACACGAAAGCAUAUUUUCUCCUAAAAAGUAUCUCUAUUGGGAACACGUGUAAUGAAUGGUAAAAUUGUCGCUUGGGGGGUGGGCUGGCUUGUUUUGCUGCUUUCCUUCGGAAUUAACUGGAGAGAGGGAGUGUUAAAAGUUAAAUAAAUAAAAAGAUAAAUAAAAAUAGUAUCUCUACGGGUCCCAGCAGAUUGCCCUUCUGGAGGACAGAGGUCAGCAGGUGCCCCUGUUUCUUCUGCGUGCUUGGUAGAAG
rnacentral:lncRNA from 1 species